rnacentral:rRNA from 1 species
AGUGAACGCUGGCGGCAGGCCUAACACAUGCAAGUCGAGCGGCAGCGCGGUGUAGCAAUACACUGGCGGCGAGCGGCGGACGGGUGAGGAAUACAUCGGAAUUUACCCAAUCGUGGGGGAUAACGUAGGGAAACUUACGCUAAUACCGCAUGAACUGGAGACAGCAAAGCGGCGGACCGAAAGGCGUCGCGCGGUUGGAUGAGCCGAUGUCGGAUUAGCAGUUGGCGGGGUAAAGGCCCACCAAGGCGACGAUCCGUAGCUGGUCUGAGAGGAUGAUCAGCCACACUGGAACUGAGACACGGUCCAGACUCCUACGGGAGGCAGCAGUGGGGAAUAUUGGACAAUGGGCGCAAGCCUGAUCCAGCCAUGCCGCGUGUGUGAAGAAGG